rnacentral:pre_miRNA from 1 species
CGAGUACUCCUUCCGUUCCGAAUUACUUGUCUCACGUAUGGAUGUAUCUAGAUAUAUUUUAGUUCUAGAUACAUCCAUUUCAGUGCCGAAUAAUUUGAAACGGAGGGAGUAGUAU